AUACCUGUUAAAAAAACCAUACCAUACUGUUACACAUUAGUUAAGACUAGGAAAUUUAGAAAACAGAUUAAUUGUGUCUUUUUGUUUUUAAAAGCUUCUUUAGUAGACUAGCAACGAGGAUCACACGCUGCUUUGGAGAAAGUUGUCUGUCUUUACAGGUGCCAGUCUUCUCCUAAUAUAUCAGUAUUUCAGAGCAAAGCUUGUGAAAUUUGCUUUGGAUUCUUCCUUGAGACACUUAAUGCUGGAUUUUGAGAACUGUCCACCUUCAUCCUGCUGAAGUCGGACACAAUACAAGACAGUGAGUGUCAGGAACAAAAUGGAAUGCUCGGGCAAUGGAGAAGCAAUUACCUGCUCGUUACCUGACUUCAAGUUGAUGAGGUAAAAUUCAUAUUCAAAGCAGCCUUUAGGAAAAGUAGAAAGCGGCUUCUCCCAUGUGGCCACAAGAUCAUUUUGCUCUAAGAAUACAGUGACAUUUCUGGGAACGUUCACCUUCUCUACGAAAAGAAAAUCAUACCAGUAAGUUAAAUAUAGAGUGAAGUUUAAGCACUAGCAAUCGAAACAGCUUAUAAAUUGAUCAAGUGUUCAAGUAGGGCCUAUAAUUUUUGAAGGAAUUUCACAUUUUAAGCAGAAAAUGUAAUGAUUAAAGAGGAAUAACUGGAUUACACAAAAUAAUUAAAGGAAAGGAGUUGAAAAAGUCCAGUUAUAAGCUUAGAAGUUAUAAGUUUAGAAAAACUAGGUUAUUGAAGGAGACAUUAUGGAAUUAUUAUUUGCAAAAUCAUGAAAUUAAUCAUAGACUGAUUCAAACUCUUAUUUUUUUAAGCAUAACCAGAAAAGUUACUGAAAUCUGGAAAAAAAUCAGCAGCAGCUAGUUGGGGGAUUGAUAACACUAAUAUUCUCUUAAAAAUCUUUUACAAUUCUGCUGGACUUUAUUCAUUUAAUUGUUUGUUUGUUUCUACUCACCAAUGGCAUUUUGGUUAAAUAACUGCUGAAAAGGCUUGAUUGCAGCAUACUUGCUGGAGCCAUUAAUGUGUAUUACAAUGAGCUCAUCAAUCUCACCGGGAGCAAUAUGAGUCACUGAGAAUCUGCACUCUACAUUCCUGUUCCACUUGUCUUUGAUAUAAUCUUGGCAUUCUUCUGUGUAGGUCUCAUACCUAAAUUAAAACACUCGUGAGAAAUGCUCUCGAAGAAAUUUCGUGUUGAGUAAAAUGGGAGAAGAUACCAACCUGUAGAAUAGAAAGUACUUAGUAUCUUCUGGUGCCUCUUUGCCAGGAAGCCAAGUGCAAUGGAGAGAAACAGUGCUGGAAACGGUGAAGUGAGUAACACAGGACAAAUCAGUGACAGCUGUAUUUUCAGCACCUAUAGAAACACAGAAUUGUAAGACAGGAAGAAAAUAAACACUUGUUACUUGUCGCAUGAAAUUGGCACUUCUAAGACACUUUGACUACAGUCUUUUGUCCAUUUUAUCUAGGUUGUGUCCAGUCCUGGUAUUGAUCACACGGUUCUAUCAGUUAUGGAAGGAUGGAGAUUCCAAAAAAUCACCAGUAGGGUUAUACCACACAGCACCAUUACGUGCUUUCUGUACACUUUGGGAUUCAAGGCAGUGUCAUCUGUUGCCAUCCUUGAGUGGAUGGGAGUAGGUUAUCUUAGCUUUAGCAAGUAAUGUUUAGAAUAUUUUAUAUGGGUUAUCCAUGUUGCAUCUUCAGAUUGCAUACCAGGCUCUGGAGCCAUACAGAAAGGCCCGGAUUAAGUAAUUUUGUAAAACCAUUGUAGCAGAUAGAGAGAGAAAUGCCAUAUUAUUUAGUAUUAGGCCUGUCAUCUUCUGACGUCUACUCCAUAGACCAGUACAGAACACAAAUUCAGACCUCUUUCUCAUUUCUUCUUACCCGGUGGAGGCUGGAGUUCUGCUGUCACCCAGUCACUGGUCAUCUGAAGACCCUUAUGGAAAAGUAACGUCCGGACAUGUGCAGAGAAACCAUUGUGAAGAACAGCUGUUUGGAAACUGUGCUGGCUUUUCAGUUGGAUCCCCCAGUUGGCAAUUGGGCAUCUGUACUGAGCAGGGUUGAUAAGUGCCAUUUUAUUCCUGGAUGUAAAACUGCUGUCUGGAACACUGCCGUUGCUGGAAGGAAAAGGACUUACCUGCUUUAAGCUGAAGUAUGUGUGGCUGGACCAGGAUUCUUAUCCAAAGGAGGAUCAGACAGACUCUCAUCAUGCUGGCCAUAAAGUUUAGAUGGUCAGUGAGAAAAACCAUGCUUCAGAGUAUAUGGCUUGCAAGCAUUCUACAGACAGGCUGAUAGCUAAAACCAAACACAAGCCCAAGUGUUAAGCACGCAGACCACGGAGCAUGCUACAAGUAUUCAUAGCUAUGGGACCAAAGCAAUAAAACCUUGCAGGGCACAGAAUUUUC